AUGAUGGACUAUAGGACAGGACUGCUGCUUUUUACUGUCUGCUGGGCAGGUGUUGAUGGUCAGACUCUGACAAAAUCUGAAGAAGUGGUUAAAAGGCCUGGAGAAUCCCACAGACUGACCUGUUCAGCCUCUGGAUUCACAUUCAGCAGCUAUGAUAUGAACUGGGUCAGACAGGCUCCUGGAAAAGGACUGGAGUGGAUCGCCUGGGUUGAGCGUGAUAAUGACAGAAAAUACUACUCUCAGUCAGUUAAAGGCCGGUUCACCAUCUCCAGAGACAACAGCAGACAGCAGGUGUAUCUGCAGAUGAACAGUCUGAAGACUGAAGAUUCUGCUGUUUAU